UCUAGGUCAUUGCUGUUAUGGACACUAGUCCUCUACUCCAGGAAUUAGUAUAUUUUACACAGUGAGGGUACAUCUGAAGCCCAACAGAAUCCCUUGAUGCUGGAAGACAUAAGUGGUCUUUCUCUUAGGAUAACUCAUUUUCACCCAUUUCCCCAGAGUUUGGUAUACAUCUUUUGAGUAGUGGCAAGGUAACAGAACUAAUGCUAGCAUUGUCUCAAUGCAAAGUUAAGGGUUUUGGGUUCAGACCAGAGAUAUUUUUUCUUACCUCUUGUUGUGGACUGAAUUAUGUCUCCCCAAAAGCUAUGUUGAAGUUGUAACCCCUGUGCCUGUAAAUAUAAUCCUGUUUAGAAUUAGGGUUUUUCUUUGGUUAUGUUAAUGAGAUCUUAUCAGAGUGGGGUGGGUCCUAAACCUAAUCCUUUCUGGGUGAUGUCUUAUAAAAGAGCAGAAUAGACAUAGACACACACAGGGGGAGACAAAGGCCAUGUGACAAUGGAGACAGAUAUAUCUACAAGCCCAGGAGCAACAAAGAUUGUCCUUCUAGGAGCUGAAAGAGACAUACAACUUUUCCCUAAAGCCAAGACCCUAAAUUUGGACCUCUAGUCUCCUGAACUGUGAGACAAUAAAUUUACGUUCUUUAAAGUCACCCACUUUGUGGUAUCUUUGUUAUAGCAAUGCUAGGAAACUAAGACACUUCCUAAUUCAAACACAGGUUCCCAGAGUGGUAACGGGAGGGCCCCCAAGUGUAUUUGUGCCAGCGUGGAGGGUUACGGAUUCUGAUAGGGUUGGUUUUGAUGUUCCCCACAUUAUAUAAUGACAACACACUACUAGGAUGUCUUCGCAUGGGAACAUCACAGUAAAGAAUAAAGCUCCAUGAGAUCAUAAAAUGUAAAAUGACGUAAACCCACAGCAGGGCGGCUACUUGGAGAGGAGCUACCUUCCAUGAGCUGCUCAUCUCUGGAAUAUGGUGAUGUCACCCUGGGAUGACAGUUUUAUAGCAGAACCUCUACCUCCACCAGGUACCUCGAGGAAUCAGCUAAAAAUAUUUCUUUGGAGGCGGGGCCAAGAUGGCUGACUAGGUAGAAGCUACCUUGGAUCCUCUUGCAACAAAGACUCGGAAAAACAAGUUAAUCGAUCACAUACAUGACAAUCUAUGAACCCUGACCAUCAAACACAGAUCUAAAGAGUUGACCUGAGUGACAGAGACUGAGAACGAACAACCACGGGGAAGACGCGACUGUUUUCAGAGCCUGGAGCCAGCAUCCCAGUCAGGAAACCUUGCCGCCGGGCUUUGGACUGGGCGCAGGGGAGCUGAGCAGGGCAUCCUGUGAGGGCGCAAACACGGGAGGCAGCCCUACCCCCCUGAACUGACCUCGGGAGAAGCCCAGCCAGUGCACGCAGGCAGCACAGCAAAGCGGCUGACAGGAGGAGAAGUCACCGGGAGGCAGCGACUGGUUUUGGAGCCGGGAGUGCGGCGUCCCAGCUGGGAAACCUUGGCACUGGGCUUUGGAUUGGAAGCGGAGGAACUAACCACGGCUUCUGAGACAGCACAAGCACGGGACGUGGGCCUGACCCUUGGGGGAAUCUCUACCCAGCCAGGACACACAGUCGACACACCCUCCUUGGGAAUCUCAGAUAAAACAGUCAUCCCAAGCAAGAUAAGUAACUUCGUCUAUAUUCUGGGGUGCUACUUUCUCCUAUUUAUCUGAACCCUCCCUGCCCCUUCCCAGGAGGCUUUAUUAAUAUUGGAGAGAACUGGGCUGUGCUUAUUAUUUUUUUUUUCUUUCCUUUCUUUUUUUUUUGGUCUUUUCCUAACCCAUUCUCCUGACCUGAGAGAAGCAGCUACAAAAAACCCAGGGACCAAAAAUCCUUCCCUAAUUGGAGUAAAAACACAGAACCAGCUCCAGUCAAGCAUAUGUGAUCCACAGUCUUGGGCUUUCAUCCCUACAGGGAACAAGGGGAGCUAUUUCCAGCUGUGGCCAUGUGAGAGGUUGGUGAUUCCUCUCUUCAAGAAAAGAAAAAAGUACAAAACUGGACAAGAUUAUCGAAAACAACAAUUUCAAGAAACUGGAAAUCAACCAGAGGCAGAUACCAAAUUGAGCCGUUUAUUCUUUAAAAACUGCUGGAACUUCAGUUCACUUUACCAGGGGAAGAACAGUGUUGGAGAUGGAUAACGAAGGAGAUAUAGAGCCAGAGAGUGUUGAAAGUAGUGCUCAUUAUCACUUAUUAUUUUUCCAAGGUGUUCAAUGGACCUACUCUAACCAAGGAGCCUACUUCUAUUUGCUCUUAGAUGAAAGGCUUGGACUGAAAAUGCUAAGUGGCAUUUGAAUGUAUCAUCUGAACUCAUCAGAAACCUGGGAGCAGAGAGCAGGUUGUUGGAUGCCCACAGAAGCAGUGGACAAGAAGUCAAACGAUGUAUUGCAUCGGGCAAAUCUGCUGCAAAAGACCUCUUUAAAGUUAAAAAGCAAAGGUGUCAUCUUGAAGACUAAGGUGUGUGGCCAAAGCCAUGCAUGGUAUUUUCAACCGCCUCAUAUGUAUGCGAAAGCUGGAUGAUGAAUAAGACUGAAGAAGAAUUGAUGUCUUUGAAUUGUGGCGUUGGUGAAGAAUAUCGAGUAUACCGUGGAUUGGCAAAAGAAUGCACACAUCUGUCUUGGAAGAAGUACAACCAGAAUGCUCCUUAGAGGCAAGGAUGGCGAGACUUCAUCUCACAUAACUUGGACAUGUUAUCAGAGGGGACCAGUCUCUGGAGAAGAGCAUCAUGCUUGGUAAAGGUCAGCGAAAGAAAGGAAGACCUUUUACGAGAUGGAUUGACAUGGCAUCUGCAACAAUGAGCUCAAGCAUAUCAGUGAUUGCGAGGAUGGUGCAGGACUCUGCAGUGUUUUGUUCUGUUGCACAUAGGGUCACUAUGACUCAGAACCGACUUGAGGGCACCUAACAACAACAAUAUAAUAUUGUUAUUGAUGUUGAUUAGUAGGUAAGGAUGAUGACAAAAACAACAGUAACUUUACAGGUCAGGUCAGGAGAAAACUUUUUUCCUUUUAAUAAUUUAUUUUAUUUUUUGUUGAAAAUAUACACAGCAAAACAUACACAAAUUCGACAAUUUCUGCAUGUACAAUUCAGUAACAUUAAUUACACUCUACAAUAUGUACAACAAUUUUUGCUGUCCUUUUUCAAAUUGUUCCUCCUCCAUUAACAUAAACUCACUGCCCCCUAAGCUUCUUAGCUAACCUUUUGAGUUGCUAUUGUCGAUUUGAUCCGAUUUAGAUAAUUCUUUAAAAGAACACCAUACUGAAGGCAGACAUUCUAGAAGAGUUUUUUUUUUUCCUUUUUUGGGGGAGUGUGUAUAAAAGAGAUAGGAAAGCAGCUGUGGCAGGUAAGGAACAUGGAUAUGAGGUUCAGGAAACUCAAGUGUGGCAGGAACUACUAUAGGGUUAGCCAUUUGACACCCUGUCUAGCCUCCUUGGAGUCCUGGUGAUACAGUGGUUAAGAGCUCAGGCUACUAACCAAAAGGUUGGCAGUUCAAAUCCACCAGCCACUCCUUGGAAAUCCUAUGGGGUGUUGCUACUGUGUCCUGUAGGCCACUAUGAGUGGGAAUUGACUCGACGGCAAUGGGUUUGGCUUUUUUUUUGGUCUAGCCUCCUCAUCUCUUGCUUUCCUCUAGCACAGAGGCUGGAAACCAUGUGGCCUGUUAUAUUAUUUACUUACUAAAUGGUUUCAUAUGCUUCUUAAUAAAUUUUCUCAUUGGGACAACCACAUUUGAUUUUUGAGAAUGAAAAAUCAGUUAUCUUUACACUCCUGCUGAAGGAAUGUUGAACAAAUAUUUAAAUAAUCUUCCUUUGAAGGGGAACUAAAUUUAUUAUCCUCCCUUGUCCUGACACUGGAUCUCAGGUUCCAGCUAAUUCCUACAUCAUGGAUUGAGGUGUUUCUGACAUCUGAAGAGACAGCGUGGACUUCCGGUUGAUAACAUAUGAUCCAGCUAUUGAUGGCGCUUCCUAGAGCUGACCGAGGCAGGGGUUCAGCUCAUUCUUCCAGGAAUCAGCACAUGAGACAGUUUCUUCCAGGACUCCAGCCUAUUACUGUGGGUUUUGGAGUCUGACCCAGGAAGCGGAGGAAGCAGCUCCAGUUCACAUGAUAUAGAUGUCCUGGGAGUGGGGAGGGUAGACCGUCCUGCUCAUGGAGAAGAGAGAGACUGUUUUCCAUGACACCACCUUGUAGUUUAUCUGAUGGGUGUACAAAUACAUUCAAUCAGUUAUUAACUCAGAAUUCAGUCUUGAAAGCAAACAUGGCUAAGUGCUUAUCUAGCUCUGCUAUGACUAAGGUUAAAUAUCUUUAAACAGGCGGGUGGGUCAGUACAGGAUGCAAAUAAGCCAAAGAUCUGAAUUGCACAAAGAGAAUAACUAUGCUACUGAUCCAAACUUGGCCGCAUUGCACACUGUUGUUUAAUAGAAUUGACUCAUAGCAGCUGUGGUCAUUUCCAAGCGGUCCAAGGAUUGGAUAGAGAGGCAGGAAGCUCAUGGUGUAUGAUGGUCACCUAAAUUGGAAUGGAAUGGCACCUCAAGUGCUUUAACUCUCUCUCAAACAUACUCACGUGUCUUGGUCCUUUGAGACACUGAGGUUCAUUGGCACAUAGGUACCCUUUUGCUGAUUAGCCUCAGUCUUGAUAGCAGAUCAUGAUUCUGGCCUGGGUCUGGAUGCUGAGGACUGGUGUUCUGUUAAAUAUAGUACACCACUUGGGGAUCCUGCUUUAGAGUGAAAGAGGAGGAGCCCUGAGGACUCUUUGCUUAAGCAUUGGGCUGCUAGCUGAAAAGUUGGUGGGUCAACCCAUCCAGUGGCUCAGUGGGAGAAAAGACCUGGCGAUCUGUUCCCACAAAGAUUACAGCCGAGAAAACACUAUGGAGUAGCUCUACUUUGCCACAUUAGGUCACUAUGAGUUGAAAAUCAACUUGAUGGCACCUAACAAGAACAACAAUGGUGAAGGGGCUGGUUUUUAGAAUGGAGGCAAGGAGAGGGCUAGCAAACUGAUUCAGGACUCACAUCUGGAGAUUGCCCGAGGUAUGUCAUGCAUCAGGAUUGGUGCUUAUUGGGCAUCACAUUAUUUUGCAAAGGAAUAUUGCUGGUCCUGGGUAAAUCCUAAAGAAUUAAAUUUUGACUUGGGACAUCUUAGUAGAUCCCUUGCAGAAGUGAAUUUCUGAAGACAAUGAACUUUAAGCAAAUAUACCUUUCAGCAGGUCUGUCUUUAGACAAGGCAGGGCCCAGUGCAGGAGUCCAAAUUGAGGCCCAAAUAUCAUAUGACGAAAUAACAAAAGGCAGCAGUUGUGUUUCAGUGGUUGAUUUUGCCUUUUAUGCGGAAGACCCAGGUUUGAUUCCGGGCCAGUGCACCUCAUGUGCAGCUACCACCCAUCCGUCAGUGGAGGGUUGUGUGUUGCUAUAAUGCUGACCAGGUUUCAGCAGAGCUUCAAGACUAAGGUGGACUAGGAAGAAAGGCCAUUGAAAAUCCUGUGGGUCACAACUGUCCAAUCCUCAGAUGAUCAUGGGAAUGACACAGGACAGGGCAGCAUUUCAUUCUGUUGAGCAUGGUGUUUCCAUGAGUCUGGGGCCAACUGGAUAGCAGCUAACCAGUAGUACAAAUUAUAACUCAGGCUAACAAUCUUUUAAAUAAAAUUCGUUCUGUCUUCCUACCUUGACAAAUACACCUUUAUAAUGACCUGGGAGACCAGGUUCAAACUUAUAAUUCUCAGACUUCUUAGAAUUCUGUGCUAAAAUGAGGCAGCUUAGCGAGAGCUGGCCCUAGCCCCUUCCUGCUCCCCUUUCUCCUCACCACCAGCACAGUCUUGUGCUGAGAGGGGUUUCACCAAACUUCUAAGCUGUGUCCCUAGUCUCUAAAUACAGCAGCCCCUUAGUGGAGCCUUUGGCAUCUUGCAAGCCAAUGGCCGGAGUGAUCCGGUGAGGAGUCCUGGAAGCAGGCUCAAAGAAGUUUGGCUGGGGAGUUCCAGAGCCCCAGAUAUCCAAGGGGCCAUGAUGGUUCAGUGGUAGAAUUUUUGCCUUCUUUUUUUUUUUUAUAUGGGAGACCCGAAAACUCUGGUGGUGUGGGGGUUAAGAGCUACGGCUGCUAGCCAAAAGGUCUGCUAGCCAAAAGGUCGGCAGUUAGAAUACACCAGGCACUCCUUGGAAACUCUGUGGGGUAGUUCUACUCUGUCCUAUAGGGUCUGUAUGAGCUGGAAUUGACUUGAUGGCAAAGGCUUUGUUUUUGUUGUUGUUGUUGUGUUUAAAGAAUACUCCAGGGGGUAUUUUUCAUUUAAGGUUAACUCAGGGCAAUAGUCUCAGUAUUAAUCCAGCUUCAGUGGCUCCAGAAAUCCUAUAUUCCAUGAGAAUUUCAAAUUCCAUUCCACGUCCCCCCCCCCCAUAAGGAUUCUUCUAUAGAAUCUUUGAUCAAAAUGUUCAUAAUGGUAGUUGGGCACCAUUCAGUUCUUCUGGUCUCAAGGCAAAGGAGACAAUUGUUCAUGGAAGCAAUUAGGUAUUGUUGCACUCCACCAGACUAGCAGCAGGAGUGGCUCUGGGGCCACAGAUUGGAUUCUGAAAAAAGAGGCAGAAAAAGUCAGGUUGAUGAGAUCUAGCUUUUAUUUGGGAACUUACAGAUAGAGGUUGGUGCCAAGAGUCUUGUGACAGACAAUGACAAACAGAGUUACCCUGAUAGAGGUCCACAUAGGGCAGUAUGUGGUGGGGUUUUAUAUAUAUAGUGCUUACUUACAUUUAUACCAAGGAUAUGUGCAGGGGGACCAGGAAAAACAUGUCUGAUCUAUGAUGGAUAAGGUCAUUUUUGUACUGGUUAAUCUGUUCUAAUUGACAUUCACAUGAAGUCAGGAAUUAGGUGUGUUUUUUCCUGGCCAGGUCGCUGCUCAGUCAGGUACUCUUGUUCUCCCCCAGAGU